CGCUGGCGGCGUGCCUAAUCAUGCAAGUCGAACGCACAGCGAAAGGUGCUUGACACCUUUCAAGUGAGUGGCGAACGGGUGAGUAACACGUGGAUAACCUACCUCAAGGUUGGGGAUAACAUUUGGAAACAGAUGCUAAUACCGAAUAAAACUUCGUAUCGCAUGAUACAAGGUUAAAAGGCGCUACGGCGUCACCUAGAGAUGGAUCCGCGGUGCAUUAGUUAGUUGGUGGGGUAAAGGCCUACCAAGACAAUGAUGCAUAGCCGAGUUGAGAGACUGAUCGGCCACAUUGGGACUGAGACACGGCCCAAACUCCUACGGGAGGCUGCAGUAGGGAAUCUUCCACAAUGGGCGAAAGCCUGAUGGAGCAACGCCGCGUGUGUGAUGAAGGCUUUCGGGUCGUAAAGCACUGUUGUAUGGGAAGAACAGCUAGAGUAGGGAAUGACUUUAGUUUGACGGUACCAUACCAGAAAGGGACGGCUAAAUACGUG
rnacentral:rRNA from 1 species